GAUGAAGAACGCAGUGAAAUGCGAUAAGUAAUGUGAAUUGCAGAAUUCAGUGAAUCAUCGAAUCUUUGAACGCACAUUGCGCCCCCCAGUAUUCUGGCGGGCAUGCCUGUUCGAGCGUCAUUUCAACCAUCAAGCCCUGCUUGUGUUGGGGUCCUGCGGCUGCCCGCAGGCCCUGAAAACCAGUGGCGGGCUCGCUAGUCACACCGAGCGCAGUAGCACAUCUCGCUCAGGGCGUGCGGCGGGCUCCAGCCGUUAAAGCACCCACCUUUCGCAAGGUUGACCUCGGAUCAGGUAGGAAUACCCGCUGAACUUAAGCAUAUCAAUAAGCGGAGGA
rnacentral:misc_RNA from 1 species